rnacentral:rRNA from 1 species
CCUACGGGAGGCUGCAGUCGAGAAUCAUUCACAAUGGGGGAAACCCUGAUGGUGCGACGCCGCGUGGGGGAAUGAAGGUCUUCGGAUUGUAAACCCCUGUCAUGUGGGAGCAAAUUAAAAAGAUAGUACCACAAGAGGAAGAGACGGCUAACUCUGUGCCAGCAGCCGCGGUAAUACAGAGGUCUCAAGCGUUGUUCGGAAUCACUGGGCGUAAAGCGUGCGUAGGCUGUUUCGAAAGUCGUGUGUGAAAGGCGCGGGCUCAACCCGCGGACGGCACAUGAUACUGCGAGACUAGAGUAAGGGAGGGGGAACCGGAAUUCGCGGUGUAGCAGUGAAAUGCGUAGAUAUCGAGAGGAACACUCGUGGCGAAGGCGGGUUCCUGGACAUUAACUGACGCUGAGGCACGAAGGCCAGGGGAGCGAAAGGGAUUAGAUACCCUAGUAGUC